CCGCCGGCGAAAACCAAAAAACUCGGCGACCGUAACAACAAAAAUGGAGACGACACAGAGGUACUACUUGGAAGAGAAAUCAAAUCACAAAUAGCAACGAGAAUGUUCGAAAACCCAUCGCUUCCUUUGAUUCCAACAACUUCCAAAAGCCCAUCUGCUCAAAUCUUCAUUUCGAGGAGUAUUACAAGGAACAAAGGAUAGUGAAAGCUGAAGAGUGGGAUUCGUUUAUGGAGUUUCUUCGUAAGCCAUUACCUACUAUAGUUUUUUGACUUCAUAAGCCAUUUUCAGAGUUACUUCCAAUGGUCAAUUUUGUGAUUAGAUUCGAUUGAAAUUGGAGAAUGAUUUCAUGAAAUCUCUUCAGGCUGAGAGGUGGUGAAUUGGAGGCUAUCAAGCCUUUGCCUUGGUACCUUAAGAUUCUUGCUUGGCAUUCUAAUUUUUCACGCAAGGAGAUUAGCAAAAACCAGAUACUUGAGAGGUACUUUUUCAUGCCAGUUGCUUCAGAACAAGUUUCAUGAGUUUCUCAAGUUAGAAACUGAAGUUGGGAACAUGACCAGGCAAGAAUCAGUUAGCUUGGUAUGGUAGUGUGACAUUCUUUAAUGACAAUUCAUCGGUACAUUUUAUAGUUUUCCUAGUCGAUUUUAUUAUUACGCAUGUACCUCCUCUCUUCCUUGAUGUACAUCCAGAUCAUUUUGUUCUCAACAUGUGUGCUGCACCUGGUUCCAAGACAUUUCAGCUUCUUGAAAUAAUCCAUGAAUCAUCAGAACCAGGAUCUCUACCUAAUGGAACGGUCAACAUUUCCCCAUCUGCAACACCAAGAGAACCUUGUCCGUAGCAUCUGAGAUUAAUCCCCAAAAACCCAUCGCGUUGACCUCUUUGCUGCAGCCAAGAAACACCUCCAGUUCCUCGGAGCUGUUGAUCGCAACCGUUGUCUCUACAAUGGCCCUGCACUCCAAAGAGUCAUCUACAGAUACAUUGCUUACUGACUUCCCUUGCUUGCUCAAUACACCGAGUCUUCUUUGAUGAAUGCGUUUGGCAUUGCCACAGGCUUAAUCCGGUGAGGUACAAGACUGACUGUGAGCAAUUCUAUGGGAGAGUUCUCGACAAUUCUGGCGUUGUAUCUUCCGUAAAUGGAAACUGCAUAUCACAAACUGAUACUCUAUGGAAAAGAUUGUAUCCUAUGGAGCCUUAUGACCUUUAUUUUUGGACAAGGCAAUCUCAGAGCCAGCAAAUAUCUCAGCUCUUGAGAAAUUAACCACUUAUGAUCUUGUUUCAGCUGUCAAGAGACAAAGCCCAUUUUACUACCAGAGCUCAUGUAGAUAAUGAUGUCUUUCUGCAAGAAACUGUGGCUAUAUACAAAGCAUUUCUCUACUUGAUCAAGAUAAACCGAGAAAGUUCGAUCAAACUUUUCUGUGUUCUGACUUACGAUAUUGAUCUUAUCUGGCACACACAUAAGCAUUACGCUCUCUCUUUUUGCAAUGAUUUGACUAAGAUGAUUGGUAAGGUCAAGCUGAAGGGCUUACAACAGUCUGAUCGGGUUUUGGAGCUGUAAAUUUUCCCUACAGUUAUUGUUUGUAAUAGAUUGAUGCAGAGUUCAUAAAUUAAGGAGUUUAUUUGUCUGAACUUCUUUACUUCUUUGAAAGGAGAGCGUUCUCUAUGCAGAAUGGGCAUCCUACACAUAUUUCAUAGAUCUCAAUUGAUGGAUAGAUUUAUGCUUUGGGGACAUCUUUACUCUGUUUGGUUAUGGGAUGUGCAGUUUAAAGCGGAAUGGUUUAUUAGAUGAAAAUGUCUCUGAUAUCUCUUGUUAAAUUUUGUCUCUAUUGUAAGUUUGUAACUGUGAACUAGUCAUUCUAACUUCCCUAUUUUUCCUUUGUUUUAUCUGCAGUCUCUACAAAGUGUCGUUUUCAAGGAGGCGGGCAAGAAAGAUCCUGUCACGAUGAUGAUCAGCAUAUUCUUGCAGUUCUUUGAUAUAGGAGUAGAUGCGGCACUGCUCUCACAAGUUUGCUAUAUUUCCCUGUUAUUUAUUGGGAUGUUGAUCGUGAUAUCAGUGAAGGGAUUCUUGACAAAUCUGAUGAAAAGAGAUGGCUGCCGGGGAAAUUCGAUAUAGCUGGACAUAGCCAUCGGUUGUUUCAUGUUCUGGUGGUUGCUGGUGUGUCCACGCAAUAUAGAUCUAGGCUUGUGUAUCUUAAGUGGAGAGACUUUGAAGAAUGUUGAUGAAGAUUGAAGAUUAGAUGGAAUCUUUGAUGUUUUAAAUCUUGUUUGUAGCUUCAUAUAAAAGUUGGAUUACUGACGAGUGAUAUCUAGUGUGUUAUUGUCUUGUCUUAAGAUUUGCUUAAAGAAAUUUUGAUACUUUUUGUUUGAUUUUGAUAUAUGAUGAUUAGUGUGUUGUUGCA